GAACACUUACCUGGUGUGCUGACCAUCAUCAAAACCUGGAGACUGAAAGGAGGUGCUUUCAAAUACACAGCCUUUAAUCUGGAGAAAACGUACAUCCAGUUUGUAGCCCUCACUGCUUUUACAGUGGCUAACACUGCUGCUUGCAGACAUCCUCAGUUCUGCUGAGAAACAUCUCAGAAAACACAUCAUUUUGGAAGGACCCUGAGAAGGGCUAUGACAACGUUCUGCAAGAUGUGAAAUCUGAUAGACUGCCUGCUUCCAGUGACCCAGGGACCCUCUCAAGGUCUGGACUGCAUCACAUUGGCUGAUGUCUCAGUCUGAGCUCAGGCCUGUCUUGUCACUCUGCAUCUGCCUUGGAGGCCUUCAAGUGGACGAGUGAGGAACCAUCUGUCUUUUGAUAUGGCCUAACGUCUAAUCUGCCUCAUCAGGAGGAAGCAAGUAAGGUGUGGAGGUAAAGAACUGCCUGUGGGAUGUGUGGAAACCUAUUGCUGGUGGGUUUGGCUGAGAAGGUCCGUGUGUCCUAGAAGAUGCAAAUGAACUGCAGAGAAAAGAGGCAGAACUCUCCUGUCUGCCCCCCCCCCCCAUUCUAGCCUCCAAUCUCUUCUCCUAGUUUCCACUUUGUCUCUUAUUUUUUAUCUUAUUAAUUUAUUUUCUAAGAGCAGCUUCAACUUCCUAGUC
ensembl:lncRNA